AGGACGAACGCUGGCGGCGUGCCUAACACAUGCAAGUCGAGCGGAGUCGGUAAGAGGAAGUUUCGGAUGGAAUCUUAUUGAUUUAGCGGCGGACGGGUGAGUAACGCGUGAGCGACCAACCUUGCACAGGGGGAUAACGGACCGAAAGGUUCACUAAUACCGCAUGAGACCACGGUGUUGCAUGACACAGAGGUCAAAGGAGCAAUCCGGUGCAAGACGGGCUCGCGUCCGAUUAGGUAGUUGGAGGGGUAACGGCCCACCAAGCCUAUGAUCGGUAGCCGACCUGAGAGGGUGAUCGGCCACAUUGGAACUGAGAUACGGUCCAAACUCCUAUGGGAGGCAGCAGUGGGGAAUAUUGGGGCAAUGGGGGAAACCCUGACCCAGCAACGCCGCGUGAAGGAAGAAGGUUUUCGGAUUGUAAACCUCUGUCCUUGGUGAAGAGAAGAAGACGGUAGCCAAGGAGGAAGCCCCGGCUAACUACGUGCCAGCCGCGGC
rnacentral:rRNA from 1 species